UCAUAACAUGUGUUGUGAUUCCCAUCUCUCACACACUCUUUUUUUUUCUUACCAAUUCAAUAAAACAAAAGCUCUCUCUCUCUCUCUCUCUCUCUCUCUCUCUCUCUCUCUCUCUCUCUCUCUCUCUCUCUCUCUCUCUCUCUCUCUCUCUCUCUCUCUCUCUCUCUCUCUCUCUCUCUCUCUCUCUCUCUCUCUCUCUCUCUCUCUCUCUCUCUCUCUCUCUCUCUCUCUCUCUCUCUCUCUCUCUCUCUCUGUGUGUGACAGGCACAGAGACACACACACAUAACUUGCCAGCUGGUCUCUGUAAACAUGUUAACUUUAGUUGUGUAACUGCAAUAACCUUGAAGAAACAAACAGACUGCAAAACGGCACCAGCAUUUCCAUUCUACAGCUAGUCCGACUAUGAGGGAGACAGCGUUCUUCAGUGCUCAAUGUGACUUGGUUUUGAGAUUCAGUACAUUGAAAAGAACAGCAUGAACCCAAGAUUUCUCAAACCUUGAAGACAGAACGCCUUCGGCACUGCAACAGUCUACUGCACAGAACUGCACCGCGGCAUUAGCAAGUCCCACCAGUACCUCCGACCAUACUGUGGCAAUUCAGAGGAGUUUCUUCUGCCAGGCAGCUGAUUUUGCUGAGCAGGAGCUGAAAACAACACUGCUAUACCAGCUAUGAUCCGCUGAGAAAGACUCCGGGCAAGAUCAAUAGAAGCUAUACAAGAGGAUACAUUUCUUUAACACGUUCGGAGAAAAUUAAACAGACUGGUUCUGAAGACCAGGACUGGGUACCCAGCUACAGAUAAUUUGUAUCCUUUACUGCCAAUUGUAUUUUCUUGAAAAAAUGUGUUUAUAAGAGAGAAUAACCAGAAACUACAGAGCAGUUGAGUAGGUAAUGGACCAGUUGUGAAGUUGUCAUUAGACUUUCAGAUUUGUUUUGAACCAAUUUUUUGGUUUAAUCAAUUACUGAUUAAAAGCCCACUUUCUUUAAAAAUAUUAAUAAAUAAUUUACACCCUGCAACACUGCAAGAGAUAGAAGGUGCUGUUUUAAUUCCAGUUUUCAAUGGUGGUUUAUUACACAUUAUUGAUUGAUAUUUUACAAUUGAAUAUAUCUGUGGGUUUUUAUCGUGGGAGAAACAUAUCCUGCAUGCCAGGAUUGUUUAGUAAAUUAUGCAGAUAGUUUAAAAGAAUUAGGUAAUAUCAACAAUUUUACAUUUUAAAAUAUAAAUGAAUAUUCUCAGCAAAGGGGAGACUUCUGGCUGUUCAGAUGUUAGUAUUAUUGUCGCACCUACAUUUUUGUCAAACUUGCUAAGGUCAUUCCUUUGCCCAAGGGUUUUAGAUUUCUGGCUUCUCCUUUAGCCGAUUACCAGAAUUUGAUGGAGCUUUGCAUGGCUAUUUGUUAUAAGAAGUCAUUGCUGCUUCUUGUAAUUACAAGGGAUAUGUAAGUUUUCUGACAAACCUUUGAAUCUCUGUUAGAAUCUAUAUGUAUCGCAUAUUUCUUAUUCUGAAAAAUAAAUCUAUUAUAUUGAUGUUAUCAAAUCCUGGUCAUUAGAGAACCGCGCCUGUGUGCUUUAAUAAAGGUCGUUGUCAUAUGCUUUAUUCUUCAGAUUGCCAACGCUGUUUGUGUUGGACUGCGUGCUGGUCGACAUGACUCCGGAGCAGUCUUCAAGGCUGGUUAAGUGGGUGGCAGAUACCUUUCACACUGCCAUGUUCAUAAACUACCAGCAGGUAGAAAUGCAACCUCGGAACUGACUUUGCCUUUCAGCUCCUUUCAGAAGUGCAGAAUUCAGCCUGCAGGUGGCACUUGCUGAUAAAGUACCCACUACCGUAGAAAGUUAAAAUUGCUGUUGUAUAUCCAUCACAAUUCAUUUAAUGAGCCCCACAUUUCUUCAGAUAAGCAAUUACAUAUUGUACAUGUGCUACUUUCGGGAAAAUCAGCCUUGUUUUAUUUUGGAAUGUACUCCAAAGCUAAGACAACAUUUUGUUUCAAUACUCAGAAAACAUUUCUAAGCUGUUCUGGUUUUAGGUGAACAUGGCAGAUCGCUUUGGGCAGAUCGCUUUGGGCAAAGAAGGCAAUGCAACCUGGCAGGAGUAGGUCUGUAGAUCACUUGAGUCUCAGAAAGGUUUUUAUUGGCUGGCUGGGAAAAAGCUGAUGCACUUGAUAUGGUGAACGUAUAGAACAUCCUUGCGCAACAUGACGUGGGAAAGAAUGUUCUCCAGGAGAAAGAUAAUUUUUCUUCUAAACAUCGCAGUGUAUCCAGAUCAUGAUCCUGAUGCACUGCUAUCCUUAAAGACAUUGCUUUAUGGCCCUUGAUGUGUGAUUACAAAUGUCAAAAGAGGUCUCUAAGAAGUGGCCUUUUAAUUAUUUUGAAAGAAAUGGAAACAGCACUUUUAUCACGGAAGAACAGCUGUUACUGCAUGUCUGGAAAUGCUGACUACUUGUGCCUAACUGACUUUUUUCAGCUGUUGCCUAAGUAAUAUUUCAGUUACAAUAAAACCAGAUGAAACCCUGAUAAAGGCCUGAGAAAUCUUUUUUGUUCUUUA